AGUGAACGCUGGCGGUAGGCCUAACACAUGCAAGUCGAACGGCAGCACAGUAAGAGCUUGCUCUUACGGGUGGCGAGUGGCGGACGGGUGAGGAAUACAUCGGACUCUACUUUUUCGUGGGGGAUAACGUAGGGAAACUUACGCUAAUACCGCAUACGACCUACGGGUGAAAGCAGGGGAUCUUCGGACCUUGCGCGAUUGAAUGAGCCGAUGUCGGAUUAGCUAGUUGGCGGGGUAAAUGCCCACCCAGGCGACGAUCCGUAGCUGGUCUGAGAGGAUGAUCAGCCACACUGGAACUGAGACACGGUCCAGACGCCUACGGGAGGCAGCAGUGGGGAAUAUUGGACAAUGGGCGCAAGCCUGAUCCAGCGAUACCGCGUGGGUGAAGAAGGCCUUCGGGUUGUAAAGCCCUUUUGUUGGGAAAGAAAAGCAGCAGGUUAAUACCCCGCUGUUCUGACGGUACCCAAAGAAUAAGCACCGGCUAACUUCGUG
rnacentral:rRNA from 1 species